AUUGAACGCUGGCGGCAUGCCUUACACAUGCAAGUCGAACGGUAACAGGUUAAGCUGACGAGUGGCGAACGGGUGAGUAAUGUAUCGGAACGUGCCCAGUCGUGGGGGAUAACUGCUCGAAAGAGCAGCUAAUACCGCAUACGACCUGAGGGUGAAAGCGGGGGAUCGCAAGACCUCGCGCGAUUGGAGCGACCGAUAUCAGAUUAGGUAGUUGGUGAGGUAAAGGCUCACCAAGCCGACGAUCUGUAGCUGGUCUGAGAGGACGACCAGCCACACUGGGACUGAGACACGGCCCAGACUCCUACGGGAGGCAGCAGUGGGGAAUUUUGGACAAUGGGCGCAAGCCUGAUCCAGCCAUGCCGCGUGCGGGAAGAAGGCCUUCGGGUUGUAAACCGCUUUUGUCAGGGAAGAAAAGGUUCUGGCUAAUACCUGGGACUCAUGACGGUACCUGAAGAAUAAGCACCGGCUAACUACGUGCCAGCCGCCGCAGUAA
rnacentral:rRNA from 1 species